ensembl:lncRNA
GCCGUCUUUAUCCACUGGAAGCUCAAAGAGAAGUCAUAGAGGCUUAAAGCAGAAUGCAUGGUGUUGUCUAGUCAAACAGCUCAUGGUCCCUGAUUUAACAGCAUCUGGAUGUGAACAGAAAGUUCAGUCUUACAGAUUUAGCACCAGAGCAGAACUCUCAGGUGGGCUGUGGGUGUGACGUCCACAGCUCACACACGUUUCCAUCAGACUCUUCUCAUGUGACUUUCACUUGAUUCACUUUAAACUCCUUCACCUUUGUCUGUUUGAAAAAUGCCAGUCAGACGUUCUGAUUGAACCGCAGGGUGGAAGAGGGCUGCUGUUGUUGCCCUGGUUACACAUUCAUCACAUGAAGUGGUGGGAAGUAACCGGAGCUGUGCUGAUGGUUGUGUGUCCUGAUGUGGUGUGAGUACAGCGGGUGGAGUGAUCAGAGGUUUGUUCUCCUGUAAAGGAACAACAUGUGUGCUCGUGAAGCAGACUGGGCGGGCAUCUUCCUUAUCAACGGAGCGAUAUGGAUGAAAAAUAGCCUCAGAGACGCUGUAAGCACACGUCCCGCCUCAGUCAGCCGCCUUUGUACACUGUAGCUGCUGGGAUUCUGUGGCUGGGAUUCACACUCAUCACUCAUCACAGGACUGGGCAGCUGUCACGACUGGACCAAAGCUACAGAACACCACCGCUCAUUACGUCCCAGCCGCUCCACAUCUGUCCAUUUUUUCAUUUGUUUCCUCCAAUGGAUUAAAUACAGACAUUCAACCACAACAAAGAAAUAAACAUAAUUCCUGCUUGAAUAUAAGUAUGCAUAAUAUAUUUCAUAACAAAAAUAAAGCAUCUUCCUGUACUGACUCUCACAUCUCCUCCUUGCACACAUAUAUCCAAACCAUAUACAAGACUUGACAUCAAUCAGAUAUACUGUAAUAUAAUAAGAAACAUGGCUGACAAGAAAAACAACAACUAGAAAAAAUGACACUGAGAUUGUGAUGCUGACGGCUGCACAGAACCAGACCACACAGGACUCGUGCAUGUCUGCAAAAUUAGUAAAAACACUCUUUUUGUUCUUUCUUUUGUACUGGAGGAGACAGAAAGCAAACGUCCACACAUAUAAAUAGUUUGUAAGUAGCGGCGCAUCUUCCUUUUUCAAAUUGAACUGUACAUAACAGAGUCCCAGACAACCAGAGAAGCUCAACUCUUCUCUCAGUGAUCGUCCAGUGACUCUUAAAAGUCUGAAGCUCCACAGAGAGUCUUUUGAAGAAAUAAAACGCUCUCCAUCCCUCUCUUCUUUUCUCUCCACUGUUUUUUCUGUGUCUCUCUCUCCCUUCCUGUGUGUGCACGACUCAUUAAACGAGGCAGGGCCCUUGUGUUGAGUCGGAUUCCCGUGAAAGAACGAUCCAACUGUUCAGUAGCGUUUCUGCUGUGAGUCUCAUUCAAACAAAGUCAGUGAAGAUGUUCAACACGUAUCCCUUUCAUCAUCUCCCUGCUGAGCUCCACAGCAUCUUCUCCUCUUAAUCAGCGGCACAGUUCAGCUGUCUGUGGAAACCAUCGUCACUGGUCACCGUUUAGUUUUUAAAAAGCACCUUUGGCAUCGUAUUGAUUUUUGUCUGCUGUCUAUUUCUCAGUCUCUCCACUUUACAGAACAGUUAGUUGUGUUUUUAAACGAAGGUUGCAUAACAGCGGGGAAGAGGACGGAGCAGGCAUCCCAUCGGUGGCGUCCUCCAUACUCAGGUCCUUCCCACGCUGAAGUCCCCUGUUCUGACUGGUCUCACCUCACAUCCACUGCAGGAAAGACAAACAGAGCUGAGAUUAGUACUGCAAGUUCACAAUCACAACACAUGCACUUCAUGAUGAAAUAAAAAAUAUUUAGAGCCCACUGUCAUGGAUUUGGUCAUGCACUUCAAGCAAACUGACACAACACACACAAGACCCC